rnacentral:rRNA from 1 species
UACGAAGGGGGGCUAGCGUUGUUCGGAAUUACUGGGCGUAAAGCGCACGUAGGCGGGUUGUUAAGUCAGGGGUGAAAUCCUGGAGCUCAACUCCAGGACUGCCUUUGAUACUGGCAACCUAGAGACUGGAAGAGGUUAGUGGAAUUCCCAGUGUAGAGGUGAAAUGCGCAGAUAUCGGGAGGAACACCAAUGGCGAAGGCAGCUCGCUGGGACGGUACUGACGCUGAGACGCGAAAGCGUGGGGAGCAAACAGG